AACCUGCGAGGCUUGUGAAGGCUGAAUUGUGAUGAAGCCGAGGUGGUUGAGAAACCGAACCUGCGAGGCUUGUGAAGGCUGAAUUGUAAGGCUCAAGCUGCUGAGGCACCUACUAUCGAGGCACCUCCACCAUUGACUGGGCUUAGUUUAGUUCACAUUUCACUGUAAUCUAUCUUCAUCACAUGCUGUUUUUCUCCGAAGUGUGCUGGCCUCGUUAAGCAAUUGAACUUAAUGUUGAUUGAAGAACUAAACAACUUUAACUUGGUACCUUAACUCCAAUCACUUAAAACAACUGAAUUGUAUGCAACUUUCUUGAGUUAUGACCAACAUUACUUAAGUAAAUGAACAACAGUGUGAGCCUCAAACUUAAGCAAAUGAACUUUACUUAAGCAUAAUAACUGUAACCUGAAGGGAUUCAAUGAAUGCUGUUGCAGUCGAACUUAAGCAUAAUAAUUGUAUGAGCCUCGGAAUUCACGUGAAGUGGCUUCUCCCAUUGGCGUUCAGCCUCGCCAGAAGGAGGCAUGUGCUAGCACCUCGGAGUUCAAGCGAGGUGGCCCAGAGAUGGGACGCGAGCCUCUCCUCCGAGGUGACGACGCAUCCCAGACAUGGUGAAUGGUGCAGCCAUGUUGGGGCUUCUCCCCUUGGCGCUCAGCCUGGCCAGAGGGAGGCAUGUGCUAGCGCCUCGGAGUUCAAGCGAGGUGGCCCAGAGACUGGACGCGAGCCUCUCCUCCGAGGUGACGACGCAUCCCAAACAUGGUGGAUGGUGCAGCCAUGUUGAGGUAAUAUUAGCUCUCCGAAGAUAAGUAGAUGUAACAUGGCUGAGGCAGAGGCAAAAUUCUGAACUGAACAGCUGUACUGAUAACGAAGCAGAGGCUGACUCUGAACUGAACAUAAUAGAUGUACUGAUACGAUGCAGAGGCAGACUGAACUGAACGUAGAUAGUUGUUAUGUAGAGGCGUGAUGACCUUUCUGAACAUAAGCGGGGCUAUAAUGCAGUAAUUCGUACAACAAGGCUUCUCAUGAAGUGGUGAACAAAUAUCUAGCUGGUGACCCGUGAUAGUGAAGGGUGAGGGAUAAUCAUCUCACGAAGUUAGGAAUAAGCAUCUGGCGAAGCGGGGAAUGGACAUCCCGCGAAUCACUCUCAAACUAUCGGAGUCUUAUAAGCAGCCUCGGACAAACGAGGUCUUAUAACUAAGCUCAACGAUAGUGAAAUGUGAGGAAUAAACAUCUCGCGAAGCCAGGGAUGAACAUCUGGUGAACUGUCGAACUAUCGGAGUCUUAUAAGCUGGCCUCGGAUAGACGAGGGCUUAAAGCUAAGCUCGGCGAUAGUGAAACGCGAGGAAAAGACAUCUCGCGAAGCCAGGGAUGAACAUCUGGCGAACUAUUAGAGUCUUAUAAGCUGGCCUCGAAUAGACGAGGACUUAGAGCUAAGCUCGGCGAUAGUGAGGCGGGGAAUAAGCAUCCCGCGAAGCCAGGGAUAAACAUCUGGCGAGGCGAGGAAUAAGCAACCCGCAAAUGAGGCCAAGAAAGGCUCCUUUUGCAAGGGCAAACACGUCUGACGAUUUGCCUCUUCCUUUUUUCAAGGAACGAGGACUCCAAAAUAUACCACCUAUUCCUUUAUUCAAGGAGCGAGGUACUCUAAGAUAUGUUGCCUUUGAUAAUAAGAUAUUCACAAGCUAAGGCUCGUCUUAAAUAAAUAAGAAAACCACAAGUUCGGCUCGACUUGUCUCCAAUGAUAAGGAAUUCAUGAGCUAGGGCUCGUCUUGAGCAAUUGCGAUGAUGUUUCAAAGAUGCGAGGUCUUAGAACUUGCCUCGAGUAAUAGAGAUGAUAGUCAAAUGUGCCUUAAAUAAGAGAAAUCCCAUGUCGAUAUAUUUUUGAACACUUGGUGUGCUUAUGACCUUUGUAUAAGUUGUUGUUGAUGUUUAUUUGUAGCCUCCAAGUUAUUUGAAACAAUUGUGGCAACUCAGGUAGAAGGAAAAGAAUCCAGAAGAUGUGCCGAACUUGAAGAAAAUAACUCACCAAAUAUUGUCCCAUG
rnacentral:lncRNA from 1 species